AUCUAUGGCCAUGCUACCCUGAACAAGCCCGAUCCCAUCUGAUCUCAGAAGCUAAGCUGGGUAGAGCCUGGUUAGUACUUCCUAGGGAGAUCACCUAGGAAGACCAGGUUCAGUAGGCG
rnacentral:rRNA from 1 species